rnacentral:rRNA from 1 species
GACGAACGCUGGCGGCGUGCUUAACACAUGCAAGUCGAACGGUGAAGGGACCGGUUUUUGCUGGUUCUGGAUGAGUGGCGAACGGGUGAGUAACACGUGAGUAACCUGCCCCCUUCUUCUGGAUAACCGCAUGAAAGUGUGGCUAAUACGGGAUAUUCUGCGCCUGCUGCAUGGUGGGGGUGGGAAAGAUAUUGUUUCGGUGGGGGGUGGGCUCGCGGCCUAUCAGCUUGUUGGUGGGGUGAUGGCCUACCAAGGCGGUGACGGGUAGCCGGCCUGGGAGGGUGGACGGUCACACUGGGAGUGAGACACGGCCCAGACUCCGACGGGAGGCAGCAGUGGGGAAUAUUGCACAAUGGGCGCAAGCCUGAUGCAGCGACGCCGCGUGAGGGAUGGAGGCCUGCGGGUUGUAAACCUCUUUCGCCAGUGAAGCAGGCCUGUCCCUUUUGUGGGUGGGUUGACGGUAGCUGGAUAAGAAGCGCCGGCUAACUACGUG